GCGGUCAUCAUAUAAUGGCUAUUAUCUCAGCCUUCCAAGCUGAUGAUGCGGGUUCGAUUCCCGCUGAUCGCUCCA
rnacentral:tRNA from 2 species